GAUGAACGCUGGCGGCGUGCCUAAUACAUGCAAGUCGAGCGAACGGACGAGAAGCUUGCUUCUCUGAUGUUAGCGGCGGACGGGUGAGUAACACGUGGAUAACCUACCUAUAAGACUGGGAUAACUUCGGGAAACCGGAGCUAAUACCGGAUGAUAUUUUGAACCGCAUGGUUCAAAAGUGAAAGACGGUCUUGCUGUCACUUAUAGAUGGAUCCGCGCUGCAUUAGCUAGUUGGUAAGGUAACGGCUUACCAAGGCAACGAUGCAUAGCCGACCUGAGAGGGUGAUCGGCCACACUGGAACUGAGACACGGUCCAGACUCCUACGGGAGGCAGCAGUAGGGAAUCUUCCGCAAUGGGCGAAAGCCUGACGGAGCAACGCCGCGUGAGUGAUGAAGGUCUUCGGAUCGUAAAACUCUGUUAUUAGGGAAGAACAUAUGUGUAAGUAACUGUGCACAUCUUGACGGUACCUAAUCAGAAAGCCACGGCUAACUACGUGCCAGCAGCCGCGGUAAUACGUANGUGGGCAGCGUUAUCCGGAAAUAUUGGGCGUAAAGCGCGCGUAGGCGGUUUUUUAGUCUGAUGUGAAAGCCCACGGCUCAACCGUGGAGGGUCAUUGGAAACUGGAAAACUUGAGUGCAGAAGAGGAAAGUGGAAUUCCAUGUGUAGCGGUGAAAUGCGCAGAGAUAUGGAGGAACACCAGUGGCGAAGGCGACUUUCUGGUCUGUAACUGACGCUGAUGUGCGAAAGCGUGGGGAUCAAACAGGAUUAGAUACCCUGGUAGUCCACGCCGUAAACGAUGAGUGCUAAGUGUUAGGGGGUUUCCGCCCCUUAGUGCUGCAGCUAACGCAUUAAGCACUCCGCCUGGGGAGUACGACCGCAAGGUUGAAACUCAAAGGAAUUGACGGGGACCCGCACAAGCGGUGGAGCAUGUGGUUUAAUUCGAAGCAACGCGAAGAACCUUACCAAAUCUUGACAUCCUUUGACAACUCUAGAGAUAGAGCCUUCCCCUUCGGGGGACAAAGUGACAGGUGGUGCAUGGUUGUCGUCAGCUCGUGUCGUGAGAUGUUGGGUUAAGUCCCGCAACGAGCGCAACCCUUAAGCUUAGUUGCCAUCAUUAAGUUGGGCACUCUAAGUUGACUGCCGGUGACAAACCGGAGGAAGGUGGGGAUGACGUCAAAUCAUCAUGCCCCUUAUGAUUUGGGCUACACACGUGCUACAAUGGACAAUACAAAGGGCAGCGAAACCGCGAGGUCAAGCAAAUCCCAUAAAGUUGUUCUCAGUUCGGAUUGUAGUCUGCAACUCGACUACAUGAAGCUGGAAUCGCUAGUAAUCGUAGAUCAGCAUGCUACGGUGAAUACGUUCCCGGGUCU
rnacentral:rRNA from 1 species